CAAGGGGAGUGGCAGACGGGUGAGUAACGCGUGGGAACAUACCCUUUCCUGCGGAAUAGCUCCGGGAAACUGGAAUUAAUACCGCAUACGCCCUACGGGGGAAAGAUUUAUCGGGGAAGGAUUGGCCCGCGUUGGAUUAGCUAGUUGGUGGGGUAAAGGAAUACCAAGGCGACGAUCCAUAGCUGGUCUGAGAGGAUGAUCAGCCACAUUGGGACUGAGACACGGCCCAAACUCCUACGGGAGGCAGCAGUGGGGAAUAUUGGACAAUGGGCGCAAGCCUGAUCCAGCCAUGCCGCGUGAGUGAUGAAUGGCCUUAGGGUUGUAAAGCUCUUUCACCGGAGAAGAUAAUGACGGUAUCCGGAGAAGAAGCCCCGGCUAACUUCGUGCCAGCAGCCGCGGUAAUACGAAGGGGGCUAGCGUUGUUCGGAAUUA
rnacentral:rRNA from 2 species